rnacentral:rRNA from 2 species
AAAUUGAAGAGUUUGAUCAUGGCUCAGAUUGAACGCUGGCGGCAGGCCUAACACAUGCAAGUCGAGCGGCAGCGGGAAAGUAGCUUGCUACUUUUGCCGGCGAGCGGCGGACGGGUGAGUAAUGCCUGGGGAUCUGCCCAGUCGAGGGGGAUAACAGUUGGAAACGACUGCUAAUACCGCAUACGCCCUACGGGGGAAAGGAGGGGACCUUCGGGCCUUUCGCGAUUGGAUGAACCCAGGUGGGAUUAGCUAGUUG